AGAGUUUGAUCAUGGCUCAGGAUGAACGCUGGCGGCGUGCCUAAUACAUGCAAGUCGAGCGAACAGAUAAGGAGCUUGCUCCUUUGAAGUUAGCGGCGGACGGGUGAGUAACACGUGGGUAACCUACCUAUAAGACUGGGAUAACUUCGGGAAACCGGAGCUAAUACCGGAUAACAUUUAGAACCGCAUGGUUCUAAAGUGAAAGAUGGUUUUGCUAUCACUUAUAGAUGGACCCGCGCCGUAUUAGCUAGUUGGUAAGGUAACGGCUUACC
rnacentral:rRNA from 1 species